rnacentral:rRNA from 1 species
GACGAACGCUGGCGGCGUGCCUAAUACAUGCAAGUCGACCUUAGUGGCGCACGGGUGAGUAACCCGUGCGUAAACUGCCCAUCAGAAGGGGGUAACACUUGGAAACAGGUGCUAAUACCGUAUCCUGAUGGCUGGACCCGCGGUGCAUUAGCUAGUUGGGUGGGUAAAGGCCUACCAAGGCUACGAUCCGUAACUGAUCUGAGAGGAUGAUCGGUCACACUGGAACUGAGAAACGGUCCAGACUCCUACGGGAGGCAGCAGUGGGGAAUAUUCGGCAAUGGGCGAAAGCCUGAUCCAGCAAUGCCGCGUGUGUGAAGAAGGUCUUCGGAUCGUAAAGCACUGUAAGUAGGGAAGCGGUACCUACAGAGUAAGCAACGGCUAACUACGUGCCAGCAGCCGCGGUAAUUC